AAUUUCUCUCAUAUCUCAUAUCCACCUUGUCACUUAUCUCGGCGAUUUCUUCCGGCGGGACCAGCCACCUCCUCCGUCUGUGUACCUGACAAAUCGAGAUCAAUUUCAAGAGAUGCAGCUUGCAUUUUCCGGUGAUGGCUUCACUCGGAUCGACUGCCUCCGGCCAUUUCCCAGCUUGACGCCCGUGCUCUUUUCUCCUCUAUUCCCAUGUUGUUCUCGACCUAUGCACCGUCUCCGGUGGUUUUGAAAGGGCGGCUUGGAAAAUUUGUAGAGGAAAUCGCCAUCUAUGUAGGGUUCUUCCUUGCUUCGAGUCCCGAUCUCCUCUCUCAAUCUCAGUCUUCAGCUUCCGAAGUGACUUUCAACAAGUAAGCUCGAUGCCUUAUAUAUUUUUCUUACCAAACCCCCAAUCAUGUUGUGUAGAUGGAUAUUAUUUUCUUUCUAGUUUUGAUGGAUAUCCAUCAUUCACACGGGAUUAGUUAUCUAGCCAUUGAUGUCUCAUCCUUGAUUUAUAUGUUUUUUUGAAUAUUUCAGGGCAGAUGAUGAAGUUAUUGGUAGGGCUAUUGCUAUUAAGAUUUUUAGUAAUAGUAUUUUGCCUCUUUG